rnacentral:tRNA from 1 species
GGAGGGUAUAGCUCAGUGGUAGAGCGUGUGCUUAGCAUGCACAAAGUCUUGGGUUCAAUCCCCAGUACCUCCA